GGAUGGGAGAAAGUGUAAAGCACAUUAGCCUUUGAAGCUAAAAGUCUCGUUCC
rnacentral:tRNA from 1 species